GGCAGGGCGCACGCGCAGUGAGUCUCGAGCGCGCGGCGGGCAACAGGAUCCGAAGUUCUUUACAGCUGCCCGGCCGGAGUGGGUUUUCAUGCCCCUGCUUUCCGAUUGUUUUCCGGCUCUGCCCCCCGAGGCUGGAGCGUGGACAGUGGAGGGCUCCGCAACAAAGGCCUUUUUCUAGAUUAAAAGGACACCUUGCCCAGACUCUGCCUGUAGAAUUCAUCACUUCCAGCCGGGUGACUUGGAGUUAAUUAAAACCUGGAAAGAAGACAAACUCCAACCAAGCUGGAAAGGCCCUUAUCAAAUGCUCCUGACCACUGAGACAGCUGUGUGCACUGCUGAAAUGUUGUACUCGUUAUACACGAGUCAAGGGGCCAAUAAAAGAGACCUCAAAAGGAAGGGAAAGGACCAAUGAGCAGCCUUUAAAGCUCCCUGCCCAGUGCACUCGAGGACACGGAUGCACAGCGCUGCUUGUCAAGAAACAGGGUUUGCAAGGCCACGUGAUGGGUCAGCCAAGUGGCAAAUAGCCAGGCAAUCGGAGAGUACUCUGCCAUGAGAAGGAAAGCCCUGACGCUCCACAUGGACGGACCCUGAGAAACGAUGCUCGGGAAGAGUAGCAGACACAGAAGGACACACAGGCUGUGACUCCACGGCUGGGAAAUGUCCUGAACAGGCAGAUCCACGGAGACAGAGAGGGGAGAAAUCUAAAGGGAUAAUGUGGUGCCCAACCACACAGUCUGGACUAUACAGCCAGAUGCGCCAUCUCAGAACCCACCUACCCUCGGUGACGUCUAACUGCUGUGACAGCGAGAAAAGCGGCAGAAAGGGACGAGACAGGAGGGGACCCACAAUGUGAAUACCACCCGUGACAGUAAUGGAACUCAGGGGGCAUCACCCCGGAGUCCAAGCAUCCACAACCCGAUCAGAUCAGUCAGCGCGUGCCAGCCGCAGCCAUCAAAUCAUCUCCUGUGUGAACACCUCUCCCCUUGCUCCCGGCUGCGGAGGCUCCUCACCAUCUUGGCUUUGGCGCUGCUCGGUUCAAAGCAAUGUUUGCUCAGAGAAUCUUUUGAAAAGUUAACAAGCCUCAGUUUAUCUUUUAACAGGUUGAAACUGUUGUUACUUGCGAGUCAGUAAAGACAACUGACAACAAA